rnacentral:tRNA from 1 species
GGCUCAGUAGCUCAGCUGGUUAGAGUGCUGGCCUGUCACGCCAGAGGUCGAGGGUUCGAUCCCCUUCUGAGUCG